UACGUAGGUGGCAAGCGUUAUCCGGAAUUAUUGGGCGUAAAGCGCGUGUAGGCGGUCCGGUAAGUCCGCUGUGAAAGUCGGGGGCUCAACCCUCGGAUGCCGGUGGAUACUGUCGGGCUUGAGUACGGAAGAGGCGAGUGGAAUUCCUGGUGUAGCGGUGAAAUGCGCAGAUAUCAGGAGGAACACCAAUGGCGAAGGCAGCACUCUGGGACGUGACUGACGCUGAGACGCGAAAGCGUGGGGAGCAAACAGG
rnacentral:rRNA from 1 species